ACUGCGGAGACAUUAAACACAGUAGAUUUCUACUGAUCGGGGGGGCCGAAAGUACCAGUAUACUGCACGAGUAAGCCCCCUGUCUGCACCCUUGUCUUUUGCGUACUUAUGUUUCCUCGGCGGGCUUGCCUGCCGACUGGACAAUUAUAAAACCUUUUUAAUUCUCAAUCAGCGUCUGAAUAAUUAUAAUAAUUACAACUUUCAACAACGGAUCUCUUGGUUCUGGCAUCGAUGAAGAACGCAGCGAAAUGCGAUAAGUAGUGUGAAUUGCAGAAUUCAGUGAAUCAUCGAAUCUUUGAACGCACAUUGCGCCCCUUGGUAUUCCAUGGGGCAUGCCUGUUCGAGCGUCAUUUGUACCCUCAAGCUAUGCUUGGUGUUGGGUGUUUGUCCUCUCCAUUGCGUUUGGACUCGCCUUAAAGAUAUUGGCAGCCAGUGUAUUGGUAUAGAAGCGCAGCACAAUUUGCGGUUCUAUCUGAUAAUCACUUGCAACCAGCAAGUCUAUUUUAACACUUUUGACCUCGGAUCAGGUAGGGAUACCCGCUGAACUUAAGCAUAUCAAUAAGCGGAGGAAAAGAAACCAACAGGGAUUGCCCUAGUAACGGCGAGUGAAGC
rnacentral:misc_RNA from 1 species